AAAAAACACUACUAAGGGUCUUCAGAAGACGCAAUAGUUCCUGUCUUUGACUUCAGGGAAUAGGGUGGUCAAUACACUGCAGAUCUAAUGAGAGUGACAGACAGAAACAUGGCUAGAAAAUAAGAGAAUCAGUACAACUACCAGCUAAAGAAGGGAAUAAAAAGAAGCCAGGCAGUGAUUGAGUGACUGUGUUCUUUAUAAUCGUGAGAGAUAUACAAACGAGAAAAACAAACAGAAAAAAACUAAAAAGGAGGUGGAGGGGAUGUGGAGGGGAUAUGGAGGGGAUAUGGAGGGGAUGAUAUGGGGAUAUGGAGGGGAUAUGGAGGGGAUAUGGAGG
ensembl:lncRNA